GUGCUGGUGCACCGAACUGCUUUCCUCACGUUCGAUCAGUGAUUGCUCCACGUUCUAAUGUUGGAUGCAAAGAGGGGGGUUCCUGUGUUGCCUACCUAUCGAGAUGGAAAUCGGUUGCCUUCUUUGUGCCUUUCGUCCUCGCGUCCCGCUGGACGUUCGGAUGGACUAGACGGGAGGGCUCGUGUUCCACGGACAUCUCGCACGAUCGUUCUCUGAUGGACCACGAGCGACUUCUUGUUCUCUCGGAUGCGGAAAGUCCCUAAUGGGCGUGGGUCAUUGGCCUUCUGUCCCGAAUCUAUCUGUAAGCGAUCAUCGCUUUACAUGGCAAUGAAUGACGCUCUCGCCACGUCUUCGACCACGCGGAUCUCUCGGGCUCUCGCGAUGGAUCGUGCGGGGCGGACGUCGGGAAGGAAUGC
rnacentral:misc_RNA from 1 species